rnacentral:miRNA from 1 species
GUGGCACUGUAGGGUUCCACCAUGGUGUCUGACACCUUGGGAGAAGGCAUGAUGCUGAAGUUGUUCAUGAUGCAGUCGGAGUGCUCUUACUUGAUCUUGCUGAUG